GUCUUAUUGAUUAUAAUUUUAAGUCUAAUCUGCCCAAUGAGUAAUUAAAUGGCUGCAGUAUUUUAACUGUACAAAGGUAGCAUAAUAAUUAGUUUCUUAAUUAGGAACUGGAAUGAAUGAUUGGACGAGAUAGUAACUGUCUUAAUUUAAAUUUUAGAAUUUUAUUUUUAAGUUAAAAAGCUUAAAUUUUUUUAAAAGACGAGAAGACCCUAUAGAAUUUUAUAUUAUUUAAAUAUUUUAUUUGAAGGAAUUAAAUAUAGGAUUUUUUAAUGAAUAUUUAGUUGGGGUGAUUGAAAAAUUUAUUGAACUUUUUUUUAUUAUUAACAUUAAUUUAUGAUUAAUAUGAUCCAAUUUUUUUGAUUAUAAGAUUAAAUUACCUUAGGGAUAACAGCGUAAUUUUUUUAGAGAGCUCUAAUCGAUAAAAGAGAUUGCGACCUCGAUGUUGGAUUAAAGUUUAUUUUUAAUGUAGGAGUUAAAAUAUUAGGUCUGUUCGACCUUUAAAACUUUACAUGAUCUGAGUUUAAACCGGCGUGAGCCAGGUUGGAUUCUAUCUUUAAUAAAAUUAAAUAUUUUAGUACGAAAGGACCAAAUAUUUAUUAUAAUAAUUUUUUUAGAAUAUUAUUAUUAUUUUGGCAGAUUAGUGCUUUAAAUUUAGAAUUUAAUUAUGUGAAUAUACACAAAUAAUAC
rnacentral:misc_RNA from 1 species